rnacentral:rRNA from 1 species
UACGUAGGCAGCGAGCGUUGUUCGGAAUUACUGGGCGUAAAGAGUGUGUAGGCGGUGCUCUAAGUUCGGUGUGAAAAUCUCCUGGCUCAACUGGGAGGGUGCGCCGGAAACUGGAGUGCUUGAGCGUGGGAGAGGAAAGCGGAAUUCCUGGUGUAGCGGUGAAAUGACGCAGAUAUCAGGAGGAACACCGGUGGCGAAGGCGGGUCUCUGGGACGGUACUGACGCUGAGACGCGAAAGCGUGGGGAGCGAACAGG